rnacentral:rRNA from 1 species
GUCCAAAUUACUAAGGGCAUGUGGGGGAUGUCUUGGCACCAAAAGACGACGAAGGGCGCGGAAAACUGCGAUAAUCCCGGUGGAGCUGUUAAACAAGCGUUGAGACCGGGGUACCUGAAUGAGCAUACACUGAAUACAUAGGUGUAUGCGGCAAACUCGGAGAACUGAAACAUCUCAGUACCCGAAGGAAAAGAAAGAAAAAUCGAUUCCGUAAGUAGCGGCGAGCGAAAGCGGAACAGCCUAAACCAACUGGAAUUUCUAGUUGGGGUUGUAGGAUCAGACUUAAAGACUGAGUAUACCUAACCAAAGCGUCUGGAAUGUCGCACCAUAGACGGUGAAAGUCCCGUAGGUAAAAGGUAGAGACGGUUUGUCUGACACCUGAGUAGGGCCGGCCACGUGGAAUCCGGUUUGAAUCUGCGGGGACCAUCCCGCAAGGCUAAAUACUCUUUGGUGACCGAUAGCGAACUAGUAGCGCGAGCGAAAGAUGAGAAGAAACCCGAUAAGGGUAGGAUAGUGAACCUGAAACCACAUGCCUACAAGCGGUCGGAGCCCAGUGGCGCAAGCCCGGGUGACGGCGUGCCUUUUGCAUAAUGAUCCGGCGACUUACCGUCAUCAGCCAGGUUAAGCCGUUCUGCGGCGGAGCCGAAGCGAAAGCGAGUCUGAAUAGGGCGAAUGAGUUGGUGGCGGUAGACGCGAAACCACGUGAUCUACGCAUGGGCAGGAUGAAGUGAGGGUAACACCUCAUGGAGGUCCGAACUCACUAGUGUUGAAAAACUAGGGGAUGACCUGUGCGGAGGAUUGAAAGUAUCAUCAAACGUGGAGAUAGCUCGUUCUCUCCGAAAUAACUUUAGGGUUAACGUCGUGACAGAUGACAUUGGGGGUAGAGCGACUGAAUGCGCUGGGGGGCCUACCAGGCUACCCCUCGCAACCAAACUCCGAAUACCAAUGUACCUUAUCACGGCAGCUAGACGGUGGGGGAUAAGCUUCAUCGUCGAGAGGGGAACAACCCAGACCGCCCGCUAAGGUCCCUAAAUCAUGCUCAGUGCGAAAGGAAGUUGGAUUCCUGAGACAGCCAGGAUGUUGGCUUAGAAGCAGCCAUCAUUUAAAAAGUGCGUAAUAGCUUACUGGUCGAGGAGUCCUGCGCCGAUAAUGAACGGGACUAAGCAUGAUACCGAAGCGGCGGGUAUAGUAAUAUACGGUAGGAGAGCGUAGCACACUAGAUUGAAGGGGUACGGACAACGAGCCCUGGACGAAGUGCUAGUGAUCAUGCCGGAACGAGUAACGAUAAAACAGGUGAGAAUCCUGUUCGCCGAAAACCUAAGGUUUCCUGGGGAAGGUAAAUCCGCCCAGGGUUAGUCGGAACCUAAGAUGAGGCCGAAAGGCGUAGUCGAUGGACGGCAGGUUAAUAUUCCUGCACCGAUUUUGUAGACAAACUGAGUGACGCUGGCGAAGAUAAGAUCGGCCUGUUAGAUUAGGCCGUCCCGAAAGGGCGAGGGCGUUUACGAUCCCGAAGUCUUAAAAUUGACAGACAAGAAAAACCUCAGCGCGGACGAAACAAAACGCCCGUACUAAAACCGACACAGGUAGGUGAGAUGAAUAUUCUAAGGCGCUCGAGAGAACGCUCGUGAAGGAACUCGGCAACAUAACCCCGUAACUUCGGGAUAAGGGGUGCCCUCCUCCGGGAGGGCCGCAGUGAAAGGGGUCUAGCGACUGUUUACUAAAAACACAGGUCUCUGCGAAAUCGUAAGAUGAUGUAUAGAGACUGACGCCUGCCCGGUGUCGGCAAGUUAAGGAAGAGGGUUAGCCGUAAGGUGAAGCUCGCAACCGAAGCUCCGAUAAACGGCGGCCGUAACUAUGACGGUCCUAAGGUAGCGAAGUUCCUUGUCGGGU